GCGCGGGUGGUGAAAUUGGUAGACACGCCGGUCUGUAUAAGUUACGAAGCUCGACUUGGUGAUUUAGCAAACCGGUUCCCCUAGCGGGCGUGUGGGUUCGAAUCCCACUCCGCGUACCA
rnacentral:tRNA from 1 species